CCUGCCUGCCUGUCCCGUAUGUACGGUGUGUUGUAAUCUCGCUUCCGGUAUCACGCGUAGUGUAUGUGCUUACGCACAGAGUCACAAAGUUAAAAAGGCGCUCAACGGGUAACUCCCACGACACCGUACUGCUCCGCGAGCUUUUUCGCAGAAUCCUAUAUACUGUGUUCGCAAUCUGGGAUUUUCCCAGGAUCUUCAUCGUGGAGUAGCGGUGUGGGAGUUGGUAUAGCGUGGGUGGGGGUGACACCCGUAUCUGCUGCUUUUCUGAUUUCAUUCAACUUGCUUCGACCAGAAGAGACCUCGAUCAGGACUAAAGUUCACAAAGUGAAUGCCAGGUGGCGAACAACUGACUGCAAGCACAAAGCAAUUUCUAUGUCAAACGAGUAAUAGAAAAACACUGCAACAUUUGUCACUUCCCCAUCAACUGAAGGCAUCAUCAUCAACCAUGCAUCAACCAUGGCAAAAUAAAAUGUAAUG